UACGGAGGGUGCGAGCGUUGUUCGGAAUUACUGGGCGUAAAGGGCGCGUAGGCGGCCUGUUAAGUCGAACGUGAAAUCCCCGGGCUCAACCCGGGAACUGCGUCCGAUACUGGCAGGCUUGAAUCCGGGAGAGGGAUGCGGAAUUCCAGGUGUAGCGGUGAAAUGCGUAGAUAUCUGGAGGAACACCGGUGGCGAAGGCGGCAUCCUGGACCGGCAUUGACGCUGAGGCGCGAAAGCCAGGGGAGCAAACGGG
rnacentral:rRNA from 1 species